CCCGUCCAGUCUCCAAAAACCGUCUCAAGAGCCAAAUAAUUUUCCAUGAUGGACGCCUAGUGCAGCGCCCGGACCCACUCAACGCCAUCCUAACGUAUCUCUGGCUGCCAUUUGGCUUCAUCCUGUGUAUAAUGCGUGUGUACAUCAACCUCCCUCUCCCCGAGCGCAUCGUAACGUACACCUACGCAAUGCUGGGGAUCAAGCUCGUGAUCCGCGGCAACCGGCCCCCACCGCCCUCUCCCGGUACCCCCGGCAACCUCUACGUGUGCAAUCACCGUACAGCGCUCGACCCGAUCAUCAUCGCCAUUGCGCUCGGACGCAAAGUCUCGUGUGUGUCGUACAGCGUAAGCCGGCUCUCGAGGUUUCUCUCGCCAAUCCCA
rnacentral:lncRNA from 1 species